GGGGAUGUGGCUCAGUGGUAGAGCGCUUACCUAGCAUGUGUGAGGCACUGGGUUCAAUUCUCAGCACCUCA
rnacentral:tRNA from 1 species